rnacentral:RNase_P_RNA from 1 species
AUGCUUACGCAAUUGCUGCAUGUCUUCAUGCAGAGGAAAGUCCAUGCUCGCACAGACUGCGAUGUCUGUAGUGUUCAUGCUUGACGAAACGAUAAGUCAAGGUAGCCUUGUAUAAGGCUAACGGCAGGUAAUUUUUCUAAGUCCCUUGCGGAUAUGAAAAAUCCUUGAAAGUGCCACAGAGACGUAGCCGGUUCGGAAACGAUCCGGGUGGAACGGGUAAACCCCAUGAGCGAGCAACCCAAAUUAUGGUAGGGGCACCUUCGUGUAGGGAAACGAACCGAUAGAAGGACAGGCUAUAUGCCUGUAGAUAGAUGAUUGCAACCGGAGUACGAGGCUGACCACCGACUGCAGUACAAAGGAACAGAACAUGGCUUAUCAAG